UACGGGGGGGUAAGCGUUGUUCGGAAUUACUGGGCGUAAAGGGCUCGUAGGCGGCCAACUAAGUCAGACGUGAAAUCCCUCAGCUUAACUGGGGAACUGCGUCUGAUACUGGAUGGCUUGGAUUCGGGAGAGGAAUGCGGAAUUCCAGGUGUAGCGGUGAAAUGCGUAGAUAUCUGGAGGAACACCGGUGGCGAAGGCGGCAUCCUGGACCAAUUCUGACGCUGAGGAGCGAAAGCCAGGGGAGCAAACGGG
rnacentral:rRNA from 1 species